rnacentral:rRNA from 1 species
CUAGCCGAGUGAUCCUGCGCCGAAAAUAUACCGGGGCUAAGCAUGUUACCGAAAUUGUGGAUGCGACCAAUAGGUCGCGUGAUAGGAGAGCGUUCUAAGGGCAACGAAGCUAGACCGCAAGGACUAGUGGAGCGCUUAGAAGUGAGAAUGCCGGUAUGAGUAGCGAAAGAUCAGUGAGAAUCUGAUCCACCGAAUGACUAAGGUUUCCUGGGGAAGG